rnacentral:sRNA from 1 species
GAGUCGGGUGACCACGACUUUAGGAC